UCGCCGCGCGGUGUCUCGCAGACUCCGCGUGCGUUCGUGCGUCGGCUCAGAGACGCGGGCGUUCACGUCGCAGUGGAAGUGCCUGGCGCUCUGAGAUUGACAUAAACGUGAGUUCGAGAUAACGCGUUAUUUCGUGGCGACGUGUGCGCGCGUCUGUGUUUAUUGCUGUGUAACAUGGUAGGCAGAAGCAAACCGAGACAAUUACCAAGGGGAGACGGUGGUCCCUAAAUGUCAAGCAUUUCAAAAGGGCCCCCUACAUUAAUGCCAAAUCACAACCCACCCAAUGUAUUUUCCCCGGUAAAUAUCCACAACACAACAAUGGCCGGGGUUUCAAGGGAGGGGCGGGCAUCGUCGCCCACAUCGCGCCCACCCUUGGAUCCACAUCGCCCCCACCCUUGGAUCCACAUCGCCCCCCACCGUGGCACGUGUGUCACGUGGUGCCGGCCGGACAGCCAAACUGCGUUCCAUCGCUCGGCAAGCGACAGGCGCCGAACUGCCGUGGCUCGCAGCCUCGGAUGGGCUUGGCUGUUUGGUUACACACAGGUGCAUGUCCAACCGGCCCGGGGGAUGAUUAAGUAAUGACAAUGCUAUUCACUUGAUUGGUGGGAGAGGACAUUCGUUACCCAGGGUGUGCCUGGGUAAUUGGCUCAGCUGCUGCUGCUGCGGUAUAAAUGGGCAGUGGAAACAUAGAGAGCUGUGUCUGUGUCGCGCAGUUACUGCUGCAGAUGGCGAUGAUGACGGCAAUAAAGCGCAGCCGUGAUUGAGCAGCGGGGGCGGCAGGCCGAGUGAUGGUGUCCCGUCCACAAGAGAGAGGAGAGAGGCCAGGAGAUCCCCUCCCAGCUCUCGGAGAUUUGUUACUCGCACAGAUUUCGCACGGAGACGCGGAACACCGCAAGCAAGUGUGAAGAACCAAACCUUACCACCAUCAUCAUCGCUCGCUUUGACAAGGAACAAGCCUCCAGGCACAAUCCAGUGAUUGAGUUGAGCGGCUGACGGGGGAAUUCAUUUGAGGCUUCCUCAGGCGGGAGGAUCAAGCUGGGUCACGUCGUGUACUCACAUGGCGCCGGGUGUUCAUUGCAUUGUGGCGACUCAGGUUUGUGCGAUUUCGCUUAUAUGAGCCUCGCCCAUUUCUACCCAAAUUUGCUACAUGCGGUAUGAAUUCACUCAUGGGGCUAUGCGGUCGUGCGUGGGAUGGCACUGUGUGUGUGAUGCGUGGACUUGUCGGCAGGCAACCGUCUUGUGCGUUUUCGCUUUCUGCGCUCCUUUUAUUUUUUUGAACGCAUCUACCGCAAGGAAACCUCUCUUAGCCAACACAGUUUCGACUACGAGUCUACGACGUUUCCGCAGACAGACGGGAAACGGCAUUGAACAUGUACUGCUGCGGGACCAGUGGGUUCCAAUCGGCACUUGUACAUUCACACUCCCACCGCUGCCUCUCUCCCCCGUGACCUCCCCCCCCCCCGUACCGCCGCGUGUGCCGAACCAGCCCGGGGAGCCCCGUCACGGCCGCGCCUGACGCUGACACGCGGCCUGGCUGCUGCUGCCGCAGCGUCUCGGUAAUUGUCUGUCACAAGCCCGUGGCAGCCGCUGCUGGAUGAACUUUAAUGACGUCUCGGGCCCCUCGUUGUAGCGACCGCGCUGUGAUACGGGCCGCGUCGUGCUUAGAGCCGGGGACGCGAGCUCGGGGAGCAGUCGGCUCGCCGCAGUCUCUGAGCGAGCCCAGGCGAGAUUCGGCGCCGUGGCUCCCUCCCUUAUCCAACAAUCCUCGCUGGAGCCAGAUGAUGACUCAAGGGCAGAUCCGGGCAAAGGGGGUUAUUGGUGUUUUCAAAACGAGACUGAAAAUGCCACGGAACAUUCGUAGCUCUGCAGAUGUUUGCCCGUAGGUGUGUGGCCUCGUAAUCACUUGGAGCGGCUCGCCCCGAUAAAUAUACACACACACAUAUUGCAUGUUUAUAUAUUUAUAUAGGGAGUGAAUAUAAAACCCGGCUCCUGUUUCCAUCUCAACACUCCGCCGGAUGAUUGAUGCCGAUGAUCAAAAGGAGAGCUGUAAGGUAUCACCUGCACAGCGACGUGGUGAAAGGCGCUCGCUAAGCUUGUGCCAAGCUACGUGCGCGGUGGGUACGGCGUGGGGUGACGAGGAGGCGCGCUGUGCCGCGCGUGGCGGGCAGCAGGGAGGUCAUCCACGCGCGAGCGGCGUCGCGCGUGGACCCAGAGGCGAUCGUCGGCAUCCGCUUGAUUGCAUCGCAGUAAAGGCGCGCGGCAGCUGUGUAUAUAUCGAGCGGUUUCUUGAAUUCUUCUUCAGUAACCGUGGUCCCUCUCGCGGGUUGUUGCCGGCUGCUAUCAAACGCGCGGCGCGUGAUGGAUGUUGCUUCCGCCAGGGAAACGAAAGGGAAGAGGCGGGGGGGUUGUGCGCAGGAGGUGCUGCUCAUUAUCCCGCGUCCACCGGGGGAAAGGCGGAACCCAUGGCUCUACUGACGACGAUGAGGAGGGGGGGGGGGCUGCGUGGUCAACGACGAGUUGGCAGCCUUCCAUUAAGAGCGUCUUCCUCUGCUUAUUUUACAACUAAACACAUUGCGCUUUUCCGUAGCGUACGGGAUUUUGAACCCUGCAAAACGAAUCCAUUUAAUUUUAAAUUCCACGGGACCUUUGCUGAUCUCAUUUUAAAGCAGCCCCGGGAUAGCGCGAGAGUGCAUGAGGAGAGUAAAUGGAAAAUUAAACACACGACCACAGUCGUGCAGUUGUUGUCAUGCACCCCCAACGAUGGCCAGCAGAGUAGAGACACUGUGGAGUCUGCGCGCCUUCAUCGGAGGAGGAAGAAGAGCAACACGACACGAACGCUCUCAUCAAGCCCGCUCGUCGUGCCCAGCAGGCCUCAGACGUUGGCAUCCCGCUCCUGAACCAUCUUGGUGCCAUCGUGCCCAAGGCUCGAGUCGAAGAGCGAGUGGCCUGCGACCAGGCACGUCUGGUGGAGGAGAGGAGGCGCCGACUGCGACCUCCCCCCCACACCUCGCGUGGCAAAUUGCCCCCUCGGGGAGGGGGGGGUGAAGAGCUGCAACACAAAUCCGGAUGCGUGAGUGAAGGGUCGCAGGUGAGAGCAGGGCCAUCUGAGUCGCAGCAGACUGGCGGCAGAAUUUAGCGCGUGGGAGAAGGAUUGACGACACGAGCGAGCGUGGUGUCUGAGCACUCGGUACUGUGUGCCAUGGGUGAUGCCUCAUUGGGGUUGAAGCUUAAAAAAAACAAGUUAAUUCAAUUGCUGAGCACAGGCCCACAAUGUAAAGCGGCAGCAAUAAACGGCACUUGAAUGAAUAAAUAACUUGGGGGAGGGGGGGGAAGAGGUUGGGAGGAGGAUAUUCCAAAGUGGAGCAGAGCGAGGGAGGAAGCAGAAAGUGCGAUGACCUGCAGUUUGGUGGUUGAACAGAGAAGUGGUGCUGGUUGUUGCUGGCUGCGAAAUGUUGUGGUGUUUCGCCGUUGGGCUUGUUCAGCACGUGGUGUAAAUAAAUAAUUUCGACCGCC